AACGAACGCUGGCGGCAGGCUUAACACAUGCAAGUCGAACGGUUGUAGCAAUACAGCAGUGGCAGACGGGUGAGUAACACGUGGGAACCUUCCUAGGGGUACGGAACAACUCAGGGAAACUUGAGCUAAUACCGUAUACGUCCGUGAGGAGAAAGAUUUAUCGCCCUUAGACGGGCCCGCGUCGGAUUAGCUAGUUGGUGGGGUAACGGCCUACCAAGGCGACGAUCCGUAGCUGAUCUUAGAGGAUGAUCAGCCACACUGGGACUGAGACACGGCCCAGACUCCUACGGGAGGCAGCAGUGGGGAAUCUUGGACAAUGGGCGCAAGCCUGAUCCAGCCAUGCCGCGUGAGUGAAGAAGGUCUUCGGAUUGUAAAGCUCUUUUGCCAGGGACGAUAAUGACGGCACCUGGAGAAUAAGCCCCGGCAAACUUCGUGCCAGCCGCCGCCGCAG
rnacentral:rRNA from 1 species